ensembl:rRNA 5S_rRNA 5S ribosomal RNA
CUCUAUGGCCAUACCACCAUGAAUGUGCCCAGUCUCAUGUAAUUUUGGAAUCUAAGCAGGGCCCUGCCCAGCUAGUACUUGGAUGGAAGACUGCCUGGAAAUACCAGGUGCUAUAGGGU